GACGAACGCUGGCGGCGUGCUUAACACAUGCAAGUCGAACGAUGAUCUCCCGCUUGCGGGGGUGAUUAGUGGCGAACGGGUGAGUAAUACGUGAGUAACCUGCCCUUGACUCUGGGAUAAGCCUGGGAAACCGGGUCUCUUACUGGAUACUAUUUCCUGCCGCAGGGUGGGGGGUGGAAAGGGUUUUACUGGUUUUGGAUGGGCUCCUGGCCUAUCAGCUUGUUGGUGGAGUACUGGCUCACCAAGGCGACGACGGGUAGCCGGCCUGGGAGGGUGACCGGCCACACUGAGACUGAGACACGGCCCAGACUCCUACGGGAGGCAGCAGUGGGGAAUAUUGCACAAUGGGCGGAAGCCUGAUGCAGCGACGCCGCGUGAGGGAGGACGGCCUUCGGGUUGGAAACCUCUUUCAGCAGGGAAGAAGCCACAAGUGACGGUACCUGCAGAAGAAGCGCCGGCUAACUACGUG
rnacentral:rRNA from 1 species